rnacentral:rRNA from 1 species
UACGUAGGCAGCGAGCGUUGUUCGGAGUUACUGGGCGUAAAGAGUGCGUAGGCGGUUUUCUAAGUUUGGUGUGAAAUCUCCCGGCUUAACUGGGAGGUGCGCCGAAAACUGGAAGGCUUGAGUAUGGGAGAGGUAAGCGGAAUUCCUGGUGUAGCGGUGAAAUGCGUAGAUAUCGGGAGGAACACCGGUGGCGAAGGCGGUUCUCUGGGCCUUACCUGACGCUGAGGAGCGAAAGCGUGGGGAGCGAACAGG